rnacentral:pre_miRNA from 1 species
UCCCAGCCAGAGCACGUACUUCUUUAUAAAGCCACGUGCGCGAGCUGGGAUCGUGGAAUGUAAAGAAGUAUGGGUUCUGGGUGGGA